AUUGAACGCUGGCGGCAGGCCUAACACAUGCAAGUCGAACGAGUGGCGGACGGGUGAGUAAUGUCUGGGAAACUGCCCGAUGGAGGGGGAUAACUACUGGAAACGGUAGCUAAUACCGCAUACCAUCGGAUGUGCCCAGAUGGGAUUAGCUUGUAGGUGAGGUAACGGCUCACCUAGGCGACGAUCCCUAGCUGGUCUGAGAGGAUGACCAGACACACGGGAACGGAGACACGGUCCAGACUCCUACGGUAGGCAGCAGUGGGGAAUAUUGAGCAAGGGGCGCAAGCCUGAUGCAGCCAUGGCGCGUGUAUGAAGAAGGCCUUCGGGUUGUAAAUUACUUUCAGCGGGGAGGCGUUACCCGCAGCAGAAGCACCGGCUAACUCCGUGCCAGCAGCCGCGGUAAUAC
rnacentral:rRNA from 1 species